rnacentral:ncRNA from 1 species
AAAAAAAAUUAACUGAAUUGCUCUCUAAAUUUCUCUGGUUUUUCUCAGUUUGACUGGGGCGGUACACCUGUCAAAGCGUAACGCAGGUGUCCUAAGGCGAGCUCAGGGAGGACGGAAACCUCCUGUGGAGCAGAAGGGCAAAAGCUUGCUCGAUCUUGAUUUUCAGUACGAAUACAGACCAUGAAAGCUGGGCCUCACGAUACUUCUGGCUUUUUGGGUUUUAAGUUGGAGGUGUCAGAAAAGUUACCAUAGGGAUAACUGGCUUGUGGCGGCCAAGCAUUCAUAGCGACGUCACUUUUUGAUCCUUCGAUGUCAGCUCUUCCUAUCAUUGUGAAGCAGAAUUCACCAAGCAUUGGAUUGUUCACCCACUAACAGGGAACGUGAGCUGGCUUAGACGGUUAUGAGACAGGUUAGUUUUAC